UACGUAGGGCGCAAGCGUUGUCCGGAAUUAUUGGGCGUAAAGAGCUCGUAGGCGGUCUGUUACGUCCGCUGUGAAAACCCAGGGCUUAACCCUGGGCUUGCAGUGGAUACGGGCAGACUAGAGGCAGGUAGGGGAGAAUGGAAUUCCCGGUGUAGCGGUGAAAUGCGCAGAUAUCGGGAGGAACACCGGUGGCGAAGGCGGUUCUCUGGGCCUGACCUGACGCUGAGGAGCGAAAGCGUGGGGAGCGAAGCAGG
rnacentral:rRNA from 1 species